GACGAACCUUGCUGAACGUUAUUUCGGCAAUUACUGGGGCUUAAAAGGGUGCGUAGGCGGUGCAGAAAGUCGGGUGUGAAAAUCCCCCAGCUCAACGUGGGGAACUGCGCCCGAAACUGCUGUGCUAGAGGAAGAUAGAGGUACGCGGAACUUAGGGUGGAGCGGUGAAAUGCGUUGAUAUCCUAAGGAACACCGGUGGCGAAAGCGGCGUACUGGGUCUUUUCUGACGCUGAGGCACAAAAGCUAGGGGAGGCGAACGGGA
rnacentral:rRNA from 1 species